GACGAACGCUGGCGGCGUGCCUAAUACAUGCAAGUCGAGCGAAUGAUGAGGAGCUUGCUUCUCUGAUUUAGCGGCGGACGGGUGAGUAACACGUGGGCAACCUGCCCUGUAGACUGGGAUAACUUCGGGAAACCGGAGCUAAUACCGGAUAAUUCUUUUAGCCUCAUGGCUUUAAGCUAAAAGGCGCUUCGGCGUCACUACAGGAUGGGCCCGCGGUGCAUUAGCUAGUUGGUGGGGUAACGGCCUACCAAGGCAACGAUGCAUAGCCGACCUGAGAGGGUGAUCGGCCACAUUGGGACUGAGACACGGCCCAAACUCCUACGGGAGGCAGCAGUAGGGAAUCUUCCACAAUGGACGAAAGUCUGAUGGAGCAACGCCGCGUGAGUGAUGAAGGUUUUCGGAUCGUAAAACUCUGUUGUAAGGGAAGAACAAGUGCGUUAGGUAAUGAACGCACCUUGACGGUACCUUAUUAGAAAGCCACGGCUAACUACGUGCCAGCAGCCGCAGUAACAC
rnacentral:rRNA from 1 species